ensembl:lncRNA
CUUCCUGGGAAGGUGUUCCGGUCCCGUCCCACCGGGAGGAGACCCCGGGGAAGACCUAGGACACGCUGGAGGGACUAUGUCUCCCGGCUGGCCUGGGAACGCCUCGGUGUCCCCCCGGAAGAGCUAGAGGAAGUGUCUGGGGAGAGGGAAGUCUGGGCAUCCCUGCUUAGACUGCUGCCCCCGCGACCCGGACCCGGAUAAGCGGAAGAAGAUGAUAUGAGAACUCCUGCAACUCCUCAACAUUUGUUGAUUUGAAUGUCUUUUUGGACCGAGCAGUGAUUUACACAGUGCAAACUGUUACAGAGAACUGUGGAAACAGAACCAUAAGCAAAGCUGUUAACAUCUCUAUUGCUAAACCCACGGCAUGUAUAGUUCUAACACAAUUUGAAUCUAACGUGAAGAACGAUGACAUGUAACCAAUGACAAAGUUAAGAGGCGUGACUUGCUGGAGAAGCCCCGGCUGCGAUGUGAAGACAGUAAUUAAACCCCGCAGCAUCCGCAAAAGAAAGCUGGUGUUUCAAGCGUGGAGUAUAUCGUUUCUGAUGUUGAGCGGAUUUGAACACCGACCGUGUUUGGUAAACACAUUUUUGGACCUCCAAAUCUUGUUCAAGUGACCGGCAUCUGCAUCAGUUGGACUGGGUGGUCAGACUGUGAUCUUACACAACCUGAGCAGAUACUUUGUAUUGAGGACAGCCGGGUGAUGAGACAAAGUACAUUACCACAAUGGGGUCAGUUACGGACACCCGUCCUUGUGGUUGCACAGAGUGAGGGGGUUUUUGUUUUCUUUCAGGCUUGAAAGCUGAAGGUAAUACAGCCAACUCUUCAAAACUGCUGUAUGUAAAUGUAUGUUUGAGUUAGAAUAUUCGAAUCUGAAAAGUGGAUUGUUAUUUACACGUUAAACCAGAGAAAUGGCGAAAGAUAAUGCUAACGACAGUCCAGACACGGAACAGCCAACAACCUCUACAAAUAAUCAAUCGACCAUACCCCAAAAAAACAAAUGAACCAACCGCUACUUUGUUACACAGCGAUGCGCACAAUAAUCCUCAGAUACAAGGCGUGUUAACCGAGCUUAGUAGCCCCCAUUUUUCACACGAUCUAGUUGACACUCCUUCGAGCUCUCUGAUGCAAACUCAAUGCAGUGCUGGCGAUGUUAGAGUUAUACAGCGUAAUGCGUUUGACAAUGUUGAAUUACGACAGUUUAUAAAUUUACAAAAUACUGGUGAAGUUGGUGAUUUUGGCACAUUCUACACAAGUAUUAUGGCAGGCUUGGAUACUUUGAUUGUUAGAGCCUCAGACUUUGUACAAGGGCCCGGUGAUCGUCUGCAGAUUGAGUUGAUUGGUGAAUCUCUGAUAGAUCCCGUACAUGUGACCAUGAGAGCGGAUGAAUAUAAUGAACGCACGUUUGGUAAUUUACUUGAAAGUGUUAUGCAGAGUAAUACGGAGCUUAUGAUUGAUGAAUCACUAGAACUGGU